rnacentral:rRNA from 1 species
GUGACCCCAAGUCAGGCGGGACC